GACGGCAACCAACCCCAUGGUUGGGUAUAGCCGCGGGAAACCGCGGGUAAUCCCCAGCGACGCACGAGGCCGGCAUCGGUCUCCUGCCAAAGCUCAGGCGCCGUGGGACGGGCCGUCGUGGUAUUAGGUAGUUGGCGGGGUAACGGCCCACCAAGCCGACGAUGCCUACCGGGCGUGCGAGCGUGGCCCGGCACACUGGGACUGAGACACUGCCCAGACUCCUACGGGAGGCUGCAGUCGAGAAUCUUCGGCAAUGGGCGCAAGCCUGACCGAGCGACGCCGCGUGGAGGAUGAAGGCCUUCGGGUUGUAAACUCCUGUCGAGGGGGAAGAAGGGUCGAAAGACCUUGACUGAUCCCUGGAGGAAGCACGGGCUAAGUUCGUGCCAGCAGCCGCGGUAAGACGAACCGUGCGAACGUUAUUCGGAAUCACUGGGCUUAAAGCGCGUGUAGGCGGGACGGCACGUCUGUCGCUGAAAUCCCCCGGCUUAACCGGGGAACUGGCGUAGAUACGACCGUCCUU
rnacentral:rRNA from 1 species